rnacentral:rRNA from 1 species
AGUGAACGCUGGCGGUAGGCCUAACACAUGCGAGUCGAACGGCAGCACAGUAAGAGCUUGCUCUUACGGGUGGCGAGUGGCGGACGGGUGAGGAAUACAUCGGAAUCUACUUUUUCGUGGGGGAUAACGUAGGGAAACUUACGCUAAUACCGCAUACGACCUACGGGUGAAAGAGGGGAUCUUCGGACCUUGCGCGAUUGAAUGAGCCGAUGUCGGAUUAGCUAGUUGGCGGGGUAAAGGCCCACCAAGGCGACGAUCCGUAGCUGGUCUGAGAGGAUGAUCAGCCACACUGGAACUGAGACACGGUCCAGACUCCUACGGGAGGCAGCAGUGGGGAAUAUUGGACAAUGGGCGCAAGCCUGAUCCAGCCAUACCGCGUGGGUGAAGAAGGCCUUCGGGUUGUAAAGCCCUUUUGUUGGGAAAGAAAAGCAGCAGGUUAAUACCCCGCUGUUCUGACGGUACCCAAAGAAUAAGCACCGGCUAACUUCGUG